UGUGUGUGUGUGUGUGUGUUAGAAACCAGGAAGACGGCAAGCGGCAUCAUCUACACGGUGCAGGUUCCGGAGGCCCCGCCCUGUAGAGCACCUGAGGACACAGGUGAAGCUCCGGCAGCCAAGAGAGCCAAGCCUGGUGCAGUGAUUGACAGCUGAGGGGCGGGACUAACUCUGAUUUAUUGUUUAAUGCUUGUUGAAAUCCCAUAAUAAUCAUUUAUGAUGUCUUUACUUUGAGUGUUUCUAAAUAAAGUUUUUAUUUCCUUA